rfam:Dasypus novemcinctus cont2.630257, whole genome shotgun sequence.
CUGCGGUCGUAGCACCCGGUUCCGAGGCCGGCCCCUGAAAACCCCGAGCGAGGAGGGGGCGGCGCAGAGGAGGGAGGAGAGCUGGGGGCGCGGGAGGCCGGUGGGUGUUUGGGGGUGGAGAUGUAGAAAAUGUGACGCCGCAGCCAGGCCGGUGCCAGACCAGCGGACGCGGUGCCCGCGGUCGCAACCCGAUCCCCGACGCUGCCGCUUGCGGAGGUGGCUCUGCCGAGAGCGGCGGCGGCGCAGCCACCCAGCCCAAACCCCAGCUCCCGGCCGCCGGGUCUCCACGGCCGGCGCGGAGGAGCCGCCGAGCAGCGCGAGGCUGGGGGCCCGCGGGCGCGGCCGCACGCAGCGCGGCGGGAGGCUGGGGGGCCGGGGCCGCGCCCUGGAGCGAGUCGGAGGCCGCGGCCGGGGCCGUGGGGCGGCGGCUCCCCGCGCCGCUCCGGGGGCUCGGGUGCCCCGACAGGGCCCCGGCGGGGCCAUG